GGGAAGGUGCCAGAGUGGACGAAUGGGGCCGCCUGCUAAGCGGUUGUCGGGGGGUAACCCUCGACCGCAGGUUCGAAUCCUGUCCUUCCCG
rnacentral:tRNA from 1 species